rnacentral:rRNA from 1 species
UACGUAGGGGGGCAAGCGUUGUCCGGAUUUAUUGGGCGUAAAGAGCUCGUAGGCGGUCUGUCACGUCGGCUGUGAAAUCCCCGAGGCUCAACCUCGGGUCUGCAGUCGAUACGGGCAAACUAGAGUAUUGCAGGGGAGACUGGAAUUCCUGGUGUAGCGGUGAAAUGCGCAGAUAUCAGGAGGAACACCGGUGGCGAAGGCGGGUCUCUGGGCAAUAACUGACGCUGAGGAGCGAAAGCGUGGGGAGCGAACAGG